rnacentral:rRNA from 1 species
GGGUUGUGAGGUUAAGCGACUAAGCGUACACGGUGGAUGCCCUGGCAGUCAGAGGCGAUGAAGGGCGUGCUAAUCUGCGAUAAGCGCCGGUAAGGUGAUAUGAACCGUUAUAACCGGCGAUACCCGAAUGGGGAAACCCAGUGUGACUCGUCACACUAUCAUUAACUGAAUCCAUAGGUUAAUGAGGCGAACCGGGGGAACUGAAACAUCUAAGUACCCCGAGGAAAAGAAAUCAACCGAGAUUCCCCCAGUAGCGGCGAGCGAACGGGGAGGAGCCCAGAGCCUGAAUCAGCAUGUGUGUUAGUGGAAGCGUCUGGAAAGGCGCGCGAUACAGGGUGACAGCCCCGUACACAAAAGCGCAUGUGCUGUGAGCUCGAUGAGUAGGGCGGGACACGUGGUAUCCUGUCUGAAUAUGGGGGGACCAUCCUCCAAGGCUAAAUACUCCUGACUGACCGAUAGUGAACCAGUACCGUGAGGGAAAGGCGAAAAGAACCCCGGCGAGGGGAGUGAAAAAGAACCUGAAACCGUGUACGUACAAGCAGUGGGAGCACCCUUUUGGGUGUGACUGCGUACCUUUUGUAUAAUGGGUCAGCGACUUAUAUUCUGUAGCAAGGUUAACCGUAUAGGGGAGCCGUAGGGAAACCGAGU